rnacentral:rRNA from 1 species
AUUGAACGCUGGCGGCAUGCCUUACACAUGCAAGUCGAACGGCAGCGGGGGAGAAGCUUGCUUUUCCUGCCGGCGAGUGGCGAACGGGUGAGUAAUACAUCGGAACGUGCCCUGUAGUGGGGGAUAACUAGUCGAAAGAUUAGCUAAUACCGCAUACGACCUGAGGGUGAAAGUGGGGGACCGCAAGGCCUCAUGCUAUAGGAGCGGCCGAUGUCUGAUUAGCUAGUUGGUGGGGUAAAGGCCUACCAAUGCGACGAUCAGUAGCUGGUCUGAGAGGGGGAUCAGCCACCCUGGGACUGAGAAAAGGCCCAGACGCCUACGGGAGGCAGCAGUGGGGAAUUUUGGACAAUGGGCGAAAGCCUGAUCCAGCAAUGCCGCGUGUGUGAAGAAGGCCUUCGGGUUGUAAAGCACUUUUGUCCGGAAAGAAAUGGCUCUGGUUAAUACCUGGGGUCGAUGACGGUACCGGAAGAAUAAGGACCGGCUAACUACGUGCCAGCAGCCGCCGUAA